UUAAUAAUAUCAUAUUUCCUCCUUAUUUAAGUUCCAUGUCUAUCUACCUAUUUAUUUAAUUUCUCGUUAUUUAUCUUGCCGAAAAUCAUCUCUUUUUUAUACUAAAAAAUCUUCAUAAGCUGUUUCCAUAUAACAAUUAUCUGCUGAAUUUUCUGUCAUUUUUUUAUAAUUAUUUUUAAAAUAUGAAUCUAAUUUAAUUGGUUUUAAAAGGGUAAAGAGCCAAAUUGGUAUUUUUGUAUAUAAGUAUGGAUUGGUGUUUGUAAAUAGCACCUUCCAACAUGUCUCUUUCUUCUUCUGUUUUUCUUUUAUAUUUACCCCACCAUUAGAUCCAUUGUUUCCCUUCUCUAUAUUACUGGUAUUUUCUACCGUGAUCCACGGUGGGUAUUUCAGGGGCAGAAAAAUUCUUUCAGGUUUGAGGAAAAAAAUUUAAACCCCAAAUCUCAUUCCGGCCGAAUCUUUAAUUUCAGUCGGUACUGAUUGAAACGGUCCAAAGUGGGCUGAAAUUUCAUUGAAGGUGGAAUAGGGUGGCUUACCUUUCCGGUUCAUAUAUUGGUACGAGAUUUUUCCAGCCGUUUUGGCCAGAACAGAACACUAUCCACAACAUUGGACAAAAGUAAAUUGAGAUUUCAAAGCAUACAACAUGUGGACGGGGAUAAAAAGAGAGAUAAAAUGUAAAAAGUGGAGACUAUCCACGGGUAGGAUAUCUCUAUAUAUAAAAAAGAGCCAAUGAGUCAGUUAGUGCUACAGUACUUGCACUACACACUUUGGUUAGGUCUGUCCACGGGUCGAUUCGGAUCAAUUUUGGGUUUGAUCCUAACUCAAUCUAAUUAGGUCGGGUGACUGAGUUUUGGACCUGUAUUCAACCGAAUAUUCAGGUCGGACCCAAUGUUUUGGGUCAUCGGUUGGGUAGGUUGGAGUUGUUGGUUACUUGGUUAGGGUUUCAAAUAAUAAAUCCUUGGUUUUAUUUUAUUUUAACAACUGAUUUCCAUAACAAAUAAAAUCAAUGAGACAUACAAAAAGAGAGAUGAGAAACUGAUAUUAUUUACCCAAAGAAAAUUUAAAGUGAGAAUUGAGUUGGUGACGAGACGAUAGUAGAUUGAGGAGGAGAUAAUGGUGACAACUAGGCUUUGGAAGGAGAACUGAGUGGGGAGGAAAAACAAGAACAACACAAGUUGAUUUCUUCAACCUUCAACCCAUAUUAAUCGUAGGUAGAGAGGGGCGGCGGCUAAGGUUUGUAGUGAGUAGUGAGCUGCUAUGGUUUGGAGUAGAGAGAGGUGAAGAGAGAACUAAGGAUCUAAGAGUUUGAGUCUUUGAGAAAGUGAGAUUGAACUAAAGAGUAAGCUGAAGAGGUUAGAGAGAGAGAGAGAGUUCUUGUGACUGUGGAAUUAGAUUGUGGCUGUGGGAUUUAGAAUUGUGAUAUCAUAUUAGAUCAAAACAGUGAUUUGUAAACUAUAAUUGUGACCAUGGGAUUCUAGUUCUUGAUUUUAAUUUUAAGUUUUAAAGGUUGAUUUGAAAUUUGGGUAAUUGUGCCAUUCUGAUAUGAGAUUGUGACUAGAGCUGUCAUGUUAAAGAAAAAGCAGUCUAAAACACUAAAGCAUAAUUUGUGACCGUGGAUCUUGAAUAUUGCUUUUGAUUUAAACGGUUGAUUUGGGAAGUGGAAACUUGUGUCAAAAAAUUCUGACUACUUUCUAGUUACUAAAAAGUUAGGGCAGGACAUGGUUAGGUAGGGCUGUCCACGGGACAGUUCAAAUCGAUUUUGGGUCUAAUCCAAACUCGACUCGAUUAGGUCAGGUGACUAAGUUUUGGACCCGUCUUUGACUGAAUAUUCGAGUCGGACCCGAUGUUUCGAGUCAUCAAUUGGGUGGGUCGAAGUUGUCAAUUAGUUGGUUAGGGUUUCGAAUAAUAAAUAUUUGGGUUUAUUUUAUUUUAACAGUUAAUUUCCAUAACAAAAAAAAAAAAAAAAAAAAAAAAAAAAAAAAAAAAAAAAAAAUCAAUGAGACAUACAAAAAGAGAGAUGAGAAAUUGAUAUUAUUUACCUAAAUAAAAUUUGGAGUGAGAACUAAGUUGGUGAGAAGGAGACAAGAGUGGCUUGAUGAGGAGAUAAUGGCGACAACUAGGAUUUGGAGGGAGAACUGAGGAUGAUUAAAUUAAAAUUUUAUAAACGAUUAAAUAUAAAAUGAUCAUUAUUCUUAUAACAGCAGUGCAUUUUAACAUAUUAGAAGAUAGUGCCAUAGAA